AUUGAACGCUGGCGGAAUGCUUUACACAUGCAAGUCGAGCGGCAGCGCGGCCUUCGGGCUGGCGGCGAGCGGCGAACGGGUGAGUAAUGCAUCGGAACAUGCCCAGUCGUGGGGGAUAACACUUCGAAAGAAGUGCUAAUACCGCAUACGUCCUGAGGGGGAAAGCGGGGGAUCGCAAGACCUCGCGCGAUUGGAGUGGCCGAUGUCAGAUUAGCUAGUUGGUGGGGUAAAGGCCUACCAAGGCGACGAUCUGUAGCUGGUCUGAGAGGAUGAUCAGCCACACUGGGACUGAGACACGGCCCAGACUCCUACGGGAGGCAGCAGUGGGGAAUUUUGGACAAUGGGGGCAACCCUGAUCCAGCCAUUCCGCGUGAGUGAAGAAGGCCUUCGGGUUGUAAAGCUCUUACGGCAGGAACGAAACGGUGGGCUCUAACAUAGUCCGCUAAUGACGGUACCUGAAGAAGAAGCACCGGCUAACUACGUG
rnacentral:rRNA from 1 species